rnacentral:rRNA from 1 species
AGCGCAGGCGGACCGGCAAGUUGGAAGUGAAAACUAUGGGCUCAACCCAUAAAUUGCUUUCAAAACUGCUGGCCUUGAGUAGUGCAGAGGUAGGUGGAAUUCCCGGUGUAGCGGUGGAAUGCGUAGAUAUCGGGAGGAACACCAGUGGCGAAGGCGACCUACUGGGCACCAACUGACGCUUAGGCUCGAAAGCAUGGGUAGCAAACA